rnacentral:tRNA from 1 species
GGAGCGAUACUCAAGUGGCUGAAGAGGACGGUUUGCUAAAUCGUUAGGGGUCGCAAGGCCCGCCAGGGUUCAAAUCCCUGUCGCUCCGCCA